UGCAGUCGAGCGGAUCUUUCAAAGCUUGCUUUUGGAAGAUCAGCGGCGGACGGGUGAGUAACACGUGGGCAACCUGCCUGUGAGACUGGGAUAACUUCGGGAAACCGGAGCUAAUACCGGAUAAUAUAAGGAACCUCCUGGUUCUUUAUUGAAAGAUGGUUUCGGCUAUCACUCACAGAUGGGCCCGCGGCGCAUUAGCUAGUUGGUGAGGUAACGGCUCACCAAGGCGACGAUGCGUAGCCGACCUGAGAGGGUGAUCGGCCACACUGGGACUGAGACACGGCCCAGACUCCUACGGGAGGCAGCAGUAGGGAAUCUUCCACAAUGGACGAAAGUCUGAUGGAGCAACGCCGCGUGAGCGAUGAAGGCCUUCGGGUCGUAAAGCUCUGUUGUUAGGGAAGAACAAGUGCGAGAGUAACUGCUCGCACCUUGACGGUACCUAACCAGAAAGCCACGGCUAACUACGUGCCAGCAGCCGCGGUAAUACGUAGGUGGCAAGCGUUGUCCGGAAUUAUUGGGCGUAAAGCGCGCGCAGGUGGUCCUUUAAGUCUGAUGUGAAAGCCCACGGCUCAACCGUGGAGGGUCAUUGGAAACUGGGGGACUUGAGUGCAGAAGAGGAAAGUGGAAUUCCAAGUGUAGCGGUGAAAUGCGUAGAGAUUUGGAGGAACACCAGUGGCGAAGGCGACUUUCUGGUCUGUAACUGACACUGAGGCGCGAAAGCGUGGGGAGCAAACAGGAUUAGAUACCCUGGUAGUCCACGCCGUAAACGAUGAGUGCUAAGUGUUAGAGGGUUUCCGCCCUUUAGUGCUGCAGCUAACGCAU
rnacentral:rRNA from 2 species